rnacentral:lncRNA from 1 species
UGAAGCCCAUGAGCCACUAGAAGCCACAUGUUCUGCCAUAUGGAGAAGAAUGAGAGAGUACAUCCUCAAAUUGAGGUGUGGCAUGAUGAUUUGGCUGCCCAGAGGAGAACCUGUCUUUCCCAUCUAAAGUGGGAGGUCAAGCCAAGUAGAGCUUUCAAGGGCCUGUGCCUGUGGUGAACUGUCUAUGAGCCAGGUAGGUAUAUCUGAAGCAUAUUUGACAACAGAAAAAGUUAAUGUAAUUUUCAAAGGAAAAACACCAACUUUUUUCAAAAAGAAGGCUGGAUCCAGCUCUUCACGAAUGUCCUCAAUGAGAAGGGGUCGGCCCAAGGAAAGGCUGUCCUCCAAGUGUGUGCGAAAAUAUUUAUGGUUCAGAGAUGUCACCUAAACAGAAAGAACUCAUUGGUCUAUCUGUGUUACAAAGAAUGUGCCCAUUGCUAAGGGAAACUGAGAGAUUUGUUGGACAGGUAAUCAAGAAUUUUAAGGGCAAUAGAGGAAGACUUACUUAAAAAAAUUAAAGUAACAUACAAAAAUUAAUUUCUAACUAAGGAAACAGCAACUGGAGAGCAGAUUUGCAAACCAGAAAAGCAACUCAUGAAUACAAAUUGCCUGGAAAGCAUUUAUUACCACAGAAGCUCUGCAAGAUAUACUGGAAAUUGACAGUGGCAUCAAAUUCCCAGCAAGGAAAAGGACGCCAACAGACACCAGCAGAAGACAGCCUUGCAUUCUUUCAAAAUCAUUGAGGUGAAGCAUAGAGAACUGGAGUGGAGACGGCUCUGGCAAAUCCAAACAAUAUCAAAAGCACUCUCAUACUGAAAACCCACAGUGCUGAACCACAGCUGAGAUGUAAAAUAUUUCACAAAAUCUUCUUCACCCUCUAUAGUAUUUCACCUGAGAGUGCAUGAUUUAAGUUGCAAGCACUGUCAUAGAUGAUGGGAUUCAGAGAUGAACACAUGGAAAUGGACUUUACGUUCUCUAAUGUCACAAAGAAAGAGUGAUUAUGAAGAAGACCCAGAUUCCCACCUAUUAAUCUGAGCUUUGAAUUCUUUACUUUGCUGGGUCCACCGGAUUUUUUCUCCACUCAGCCCAUCAAUGAGAGUGGAGGCGGCCUGCAUCUUUUUCCGGCACGUAUCAGCAUCAUGAAGCAAAUCCUGCAGCCAUAAUGGGAGAAUGUCUCAA